UUCAAAGUUAAGGAGAAGGGAAUUAUUCUGUUUCACCGAGUGCUGAUCUUUGCUGCCACUGCCAGAGCAGUAAGAAUGGAGCCAUUGGACAAGGGGGAGGGAGCAGCCCCCACACUUUUUGUUUGUCUAGUCCUGUGGGCGGGAACCUUUUGUCUUGUUUAGUUAGUUCCCUGCACUUUUUUUUAGUCCUCGUGGGCACUUUUUGUCUUGUCCCCAGCUCUUUCACUUUUUAUCUUGUCUAGUCCCCUGCACUUUUUGUGCAGUCCUCGCUUUUGUCUAGUCCCUGUGGGCAAAGAAAAAAAGGACCGGAAGCCAUGCAUGCGUAUUUAUGCUAAACACAACUUAGGAGCAAAAUUCCAUUGCCUGCUUACCUGAAGAAUGUUUCAUGCAGGCAAAGGCAAGAUGUUUUGAAUAUAUGCUGCUGCUUCAGGGAUUAUGCUUCUGGUCAGACACAGUUUUCAGCACCUCUUCAUCAACCAAUGGGAGAAGGGUUCACCUCGCUCCAGUGGGGAUAUGCCUGUUUGAGGUCUUCAUAAUUUUCAAGUGAUGUUCCUGCUAAUUACCACGUCAAUAGCAACACCUUAAGUACGCGCUCAGUGAUGAGAAACCUGGGCAGACAGGUUGACAGCAAUCUUACCUUUGAUCACCAUGUCUCUACAGGGAGUUUGGGCCCUUACCAUCUACACUCAUGGGUCACCAACACAACUGCUAUUGAGUGACAACCUGAGGAGACUGCAAGGAGGAGGUCAAGAUAGUGUACAGAAGUCAGAAACAGAAAAAAAAUGAAUGCUAAAAGCACUACAGUCCUCACAAAGUAUUGUGUUUAUUUAUUUGGUAAAGGUUUGAUUACUUUUAUAUAAAUGUAAAUGUGCCUGUGUCACAAAUGAUAAUUCAGUAAAGGUGUUUAAAAAAAGACCUGCAAGACAAUUCGUAAAGACGGAUUAGAAGAUGAAGCUACUUUGCACUAUCUGGUCAACCUAAUGUUGCAGUUUCAUGCAAAAACUGCAUUUCUGUGUCAUCUCCUGUUGCAGUUUUCAGUCCCUGCUGUUUCUCAGCUGCUAAAUGUGCAUCAUGACAUAAUGAACUUUGAGACCCUCUUCUAACAAGCCUUACUUCCACAUAUUUAAAUAAUUGUAUUUUAACAUCAUACUUGUGAAAAUACCACUCAACCUGGAAACAUCAAAAAUCUGGACAAAGACCCAUGAAAAAUAGGUACAAAUCAGUAUGCU